UUGCACUGGGUAUUUAUUGGAGACCUGGACAAUGACAGCUUGUUGUUACAAAGCAUAAGUAAAAAAUUCUCUUUUGCACUUCCCAACUUUUGCAACCACUUUCUUUUCCUGUUCUUUCAUCAUCAUCUCUGCAGAGGGCUCUGUGACAGAACCUUAGUACAACCAAGAUAACAAAUUUGUUAUGAUUCAUGCACAAAAGGGAUAACUAUGCCCUAGCAUGGGCUUUCACCAAAUAUCAGACAUCGCUUCCCAGCUUGUCUCAAGGCCCCCAAGGUUUGUAAACUGCAUGGAAAAGCAUGGGCCAAAAUUUCAGGUAUCUCUCAUUUCAGCGAGAGACUGGGGUUGAGUCCAGACCAAACAUGGGAGUUUCACUUUUGGCCCCACUCCUGGAAGAGCAAGGGAUUUGAGUUUGUGUGUGACACAACAUGAUCACACCUUCACAUCUGACACCUGGAGAAAGGUACUACUGUGCCCAUGGAAAAGGCAAAAAUAAUCCAAAAAAUAUUGGAGAGAGACUGAAGAGUGCUGAGGAGCCUGCUAAAGGCCAUCACAAGAAGGUGCCAGGAGCUCGUGGAAGAGCUGACACCAUCUGGGUGACCCACAGCAGGGGCUGGAGGUACUCUCUUUGUGGGAAUGCCGAGGAUGAAGCUGUUUCCUGCUUUUUCCCAAGCUCUCCGAAUGGUGCUGUGCCUACUUCUCGUACAUUGAUGAGGAAUUGA
rnacentral:lncRNA from 1 species